CACAGCGGGGACCUCAACACAUGUUCCCCUGUGGGUUGCACGGGCACAGCUGCUGCUCACCCCGCCCGAGGGAAUUCUGACUAGAUAGGGUCUGACAGAGCUACUCAGGCUUUACUUCCAAGACCACUUGCUUUUAGGGUUUGAAGGGUCCCUGGUAACUUAUCCAUGGCUGUUCCUGGAGGGACUGAAAUGGCCACCGGCUUAGCCUGCGGAACAUCUGUGAGCCCUGUCUCCCUGACCGGGGAAUAUGGCCCAAAAAAAACCCCAAAACCUCCAUAUGCCUAAACUUCAGAGCAGGGUGAUGACACACAGGGCACCCUCUGCCUCCUGGAAUUAGGGGGGGCCAGCACCUUCCAAAGCCUCUGCCCUAAUAAAGGGCCCCACGCUUCAGAUGCCGUUCCAGACUCCUUGGAAGAGAUGACUGGUGAUAAAUUGUGCAAAUGCAGUGCCUGGCGGUCAGGGCCUGGCCUUUUUGAUGAUCUACCGAUGCCCUAGAUGGGACUGAGAGGGGUUUGAAGUUGUGUCUGUAUCCACUGCUGAUUUAUUCUCUCCUUUAGGAACCUGCCACUGUUGGGGAUUGGGAUUUGCCAUCGGUCCCGCUGCAGAUUUUGGGAAUAAAGCAGCACACAGGCUGGCAGCACAGCUGCUGCAGUUGUCAGUUGUGUACGGACUGCGCUGGGCCAGGCCCAGCCCUGCUGUGAAACCAACCCGGAGGAGGCACAGAGAGACGAGGACACGAAUAUGACCUGCUAGUUCAGAAACAUUUUAACCAGGAGUGCAGCGUGGAAAAUGGACAAAUUGGAGCCAUUCCUUAAAACCAGUGAAAGGUUUUGCCUCAGCAGCCCUGGAGAUGGAAGUCCUUUAUCCACAGAACAGAUCCACCCCUGGGAUUCUUCUGCACCUACCCCAGCUCUGGUCCCACGUGCUGCUCCACCCAUUGCUGCACUAUGGGGCCGUUCAGUCUCUGGGGUCCUUCGAACCUGGAGCCCUGUGCUGAGGCUGCCUGAGGUGGUACUUCUGUGAGGCAGAUGAGUGCCUGGUCUCUGGACAACCCUCCACUGAGAGCACUGAUUUCGCACGGGUCACCAGCUGAACACUGUGUUUACCAGCAGCCUGAAGAGGCUCUGUAGCCCCCUUACUCAUCACCUGAGCUCUCCUCCCCGCUGUGUUUCCUUUCAGCCAUUUAAGAAAAGGUUGAUGCUACUCCAGCCAGAGAUUCUCCCACUGGGAGCUGCUGUAACCACUGCACUCCUAUCCAGCUCUACUUUCAAUCUAAGGCAGCCCUGAGCAUCUCUCUGGGACUGGCACCCCAGCAUACUGCAAUGGCCCCAUCAGCAGUGCCUGAGUCAGAGCCUGCAGCUGCUCUGGCUGCCUGCCUGGAGGCCGGAGCCGCGACACAGACGAGAAGCCCGGAGGCAGCAGGCGAACGGUUUUGAAGAUGAAUGGUUAACAGCACUCAUUAGGUAUCAAGGACCUGGAAGGAAAUAAACUUCAAAGAUAAGCCUAUCAUACUCCUCUGGGGCAGCAGGCUAAUGUGAACCUUUAGAAAGUGCUAUUGAAGCUGAAAAUCUCUAAAUCCUUCAAAACCUGCUGACAAAAAGUUUCUCUGUGCAUGGACAAUUCUACCUUGGUGACAGUACAGCUCCAGUGGAAGCAUUCUGGCCUCACAGCCAACAGUUCUAGCGCCAAGCUUGACAUGGGCUCAUCCUGAUCAAUGAAUUGCAGUAUGGGAGGAGGACGAUCUUUGUUUUGAGUGGAAGUGAGGAAGGGUUGUCCUGUGGAUGCAACAUUAAACUCUGGUUCCCAUCUGCCUCUGCAGAUAAUUAAAGAUUCCACUUUUUGAUGCAAUUCGGUUAAGAAUGUACCUCAUCCAUGAUAUUUCUCUCCUGUAUAGUCCAGAGGGUGCAGGUAAGGACAGCCAGCUAACGUGGUAACAUCUGUUGUUAUUGUCUGAUCUAAUAGCAUGUAGAGAGACCUGAGUGCCUGACUGAAUGUACCCCUUCCUUCAGCCUAACAGUCUGAUCAGGAUCUGACUAAGAUGUUGGAAAUCACUUACAUUGGACUGAAGUCCAGUGCUUACGGCACUCUUUGAUCCAGCAUUGGGAGACACAAGGAAACAACUGUGGCCUCAUUUCACUAGUGGGUGCAGUCUGGGUCACACCUCCAGACAUUGUUAGUGGGGACAAUAGAGUACCCUAUAACCCAGCCCCACAACUCAGUAGAGUCUGCCUUACUGUGCAUUUAAUGCCUACUGUCCUGAUUCAGAACGGGUGUAAGUGCAUGCUUCUCCACUGAUAUCAGUUAUGCCAGGUAUAAAUUAGCCCACUAUUAUUCUCUUGCCUUAAUCAUAAACAUGUCAUUCUUUAUAUGAACAAACGUUACCAUCCUUUGGCAAAGUAUUUAGAGUCUAUGGUGGCAUAUUCAUCCCAUGACAGAUGACGAUGCUAGGCAUCAGGAAAUGGAACAGCAAGGCUGAGGUUUUCCAUAAUUUGCUCUUCUGGUUCCUUGUGUCAAGAAAGUCCCUGGACUGGAAGGCAGCCUCCUGUUCCACCAUGCUAACCACCUGCCUGUGAUCUGAUAGGAUUUCAUAUCUGUGCCAGUGCAACAUUAGCAAAGAAACUGUCCUAGUACACACUUAAAUCAUAAGGAUCUUCUAGCUAGAUACAAAAUCCAUUAUAACCCCUAUGUAUGCCAAGAACUGUCCCUCUGCAAUGAUACUGCAGUGUAUAUAAUCUAUUGAGAGAGAUCAGGAUUAACAGCGCUCAACAGUUACAUAGCUCUUUGCAAACACAAAUACUUAACAAUGCUUGGGAGGCAGGCAAAAUGCUCUUUAUCCCUGUUUUACAGAUGGCAGAUUUGUAUGGAGAACUUUGACUUCCUUAAGGCCAAAGAGAGGAGUUAGUGGCAGAGCCAGGAUGAGGGCACCAGGGCAUUUCUUAGGUCUCCCCUUCCUCUCAAUUCAAGCUCAGGAAAAUAUUCUCUCCCCUCUGCAGCGCAUCACACAAUUGACUAGGAGCAUCCUAUGGAGUUUUCUUUUCUCAGCUGCAUCAGGUAUUCACGUUCCCCGCUGCGGGAGAGGACAUUUGGGUGACUAGUCCUCACAUGGAAUUGAUGGGCUUGGAGAGUCAAAGUCCUGCCUGUGUUUAGGAUGCAGUUAUAACUGCCAGUGCCAGCUGCCCCAGUCUUUCAGGCCUUACUCAAGCAAAGCUCCCAUCACCUGCUGAUUAGCUUGAGUGGUGCAUUUCAAACACCACAGGACAUUUACCUCCAUAAGGGCUUCACUACUGGACCCAACAUGUCUGAAACCAAAUAAUGCUAGAGGCAACCAAACCAGGCUUGGACGCCUUCCAAAAUAACCUGCAGGAAAUCAGGUUGAUCACAGCAGUAAAACACCAUGACACUUUUUUGACAGAAGACAGUCUUUUCCCAGCUGUAUGGUGGAAAAAGCCUACUGCAGUGAGCUAGUUACUGUUCCCAUCUCCCCUAAUCCCAAACGGUCACGUUUCUGAAUCUGUCAGCUUCCUUCGCCGUUCAGAAUCGUGGCUGGGUAAAUGGUUUAAAGCAAUGGGGAGAAAAGCUGGCUUUUUACAUUGAUGGCAGAGACUAAUAAACCCCCCUUCAU